AUUCAGCGUUGCCGAUUGCCGUAUAUGUGACUUCGUCCCCACUCCUUCACUUUUUCCAUCGUUUCCUAUGUAUCAAGUCCCAUCUGUAUCGAUAUACAAGGCCUUGAUACAUAGGAAACAGGGAAAAAGCGAAGGAGUGGACAGAAAAGGGGGCGAAAAGUGACCAAUACUACGACUGAGAAUGGAAACAAUCAAUCAAUCAAACAAGCCAUCUUCCGACGAAGACUUUAUUACAGUUCCGGAAAUGAAAGGAAAUAUCCCGGUCCGAUUUCAUUUAAAACUUGUUAUCAGUAAUUCCGUUUUUCUCUACAGAUAUUCCUCUUGCAAAUUCUCAGUUUGAAGUAAUCCAACAACAACUAAAAAUCUCACAAAAGCCGUACAACAAUCUAAUGGAAAUAUUCCGGUGUUGGAAGAAGACCGUACUCGUCAUGCAACUAUCGUGGAAAAAGAGUUUGAUUUUUUACCAAUAAAAGAUCCUGUUUAGCUCUGCAGUUUUGACGUGAUGGUUGAAUAGCUCGUGAGAAACAUACCAUAAGUUUGAUAUUUCACCGGCGUUUGAAAAAUCGAAAACCAUCAACUCUUUUCUACGUAGCAUUUUCUCUCAACUGAUGGUGCCAGAGGUGGGCAAUAUUGUUCAGUGGAAGACAAGACGAGUUGCUAAUGAACUCAUAACUGGGUUGAAGUGUAUGCCCAUUAUUCUAGCUAUUAUACUCGUAACUGCCAAUCUCUAGUCAAAGGCCACAACAUCCCGAAACAAGACGUCCAGGAUUUCAUUGAUCGCUGCAAGAGAAUCAGAAAACAAGACGCAUACACACAUAGAGGCAACACCAAACAGCCUGUUGUGGUAUCCGAAAGAACCAAUGAGCCUCGUCAAUUGAAAGAUGAUAUUCAAGUAUUACUGGGAAAAAAAGUGGCUCAUCUUGAAAAGUUGAUAGAAAAGUAUGACAAGUAAUCGUUUAAACGAAGUUAGUAUAAUUAUUAUCGUACUGUUCUAUCGUUUGAACGAUUACUUUGUAAUUAUUUUCUAUCAGUUUUUCAAGAUAACAUAUUGAUUUGUUUUUUUUUCACACAGAAAAUUUCGAGUUUUGUUUAUAUUUUGUUUUUGUGUUGUGUUAUUCAAUUGAAUUGUUUCCAAAUGUGGCAUCACGCAAUAAAAUGACAGACCAAUUAAAA
rnacentral:lncRNA from 1 species